rnacentral:rRNA from 1 species
UACGUAGGGUGCAAGCGUUGUCCGGAAUUAUUGGGCGUAAAGGGCUCGUAGGCGGUCCAUCGCGUCGGGAGUGAAAAGCUGGGGCUCAACCCCAGUCCUGCUUUCGAUACGGGUGGACUAGAGGUAGGCAGGGGAGAACGGAAUUCCUGGUGUAGCGGUGAAAUGCGCAGAUAUCAGGAGGAACACCGGUGGCGAAGGCGGGUCUCUGGGCAACUACUGACGCUGAGGAGCGAAAGCGUGGGGAGCGAACAGG